rnacentral:rRNA from 1 species
GACGAACGUUGGCGGCGUGCUUAACACAUGCAAGUCGAGCGGUAAGGCCCUUCGGGGUACACGAGCGGCGAACGGGUGAGUAACACGUGGGUGACCUGCCCUUAGCUCUGGGAUAAGCCUGGGAAACUGGGUCUAAUACCGGAUAUGACCUCAUGACGCAUGUUGUGGGGUGGAAAGCCUUGUGCGGCUAGGGAUGGGCCCGCGGCCUAUCAGCUUGUUGGUGGGGUGAUGGCCUACCAAGGCGACGACGGGUAGCCGGCCUGAGAGGGCGACCGGCCACACUGGGACUGAGACACGGCCCAGACUCCUACGGGAGGCAGCAGUGGGGAAUCUUGCGCAAUGGGCGAAAGCCUGACGCAGCGACGCCGCGUGAGGGAUGACGGCC